UAUUGUUACUUUGGCAGAUUAGUGUGAUGAAUUUAGAAUUCAUUUAUGUAAUUAUUUUACAAGUAAUA
rnacentral:tRNA from 5 species